rnacentral:lncRNA from 1 species
AUAUGACCUCAAAGAAGAAGAAGCCUUUUCACAAACUGCCCAACCUUGUGGCUGGAUCAGCCGGAUUGUGUCAAGACGGCUACCGACGGGCCGGGAUGUGACCCCAUGAUAAAUAUAUCUGAAAGAUGAGAUCGACACUCGAAUUCAGAUCCUUCAGGAUGGAAAGUCAAAAGUAUUCCAAGCAGUUAAUCUAGUCGAUUCUUUAAUGGAAUCGAUGUUAUGUGAACGAUCAGAUUCAAAGAGCUGGGCCCUGACUUCUGAGAAAAUUUUGAAGUAUGAAUCCAGGAAUUCAAUCUGGUUCUUUCAGGUGUAAGGCAAUGCUUUAUCACGUAGUCAUCUGUUAUCGGAUUGUAAUGAUUCCGACAUCACCCACCAGAGACAUUAUACCGAAACACAAGCUGAGAUAUCUAGUUAAAAGUUUCGUUUUUUGGACUUUUCGGAGCAACUAUGAGAUUUUGAGAGAACAUACCUUGACAAUGUCCUCAGUGAAGGAUUUAUGGUUUAUGGGAUCUGCGUGCAGCUUUAAUUAGCGCCAUUUUGAUUAUGAUGAAAUAAUAUCAGGAG